rnacentral:rRNA from 1 species
UACAGAGGGUGCGAGCGUUAAUCGGAAUUACUGGGCGUAAAGCGCGCGUAGUCGGCUUUGCAAGGCGGGUGUGAAAUCCCCAGGCUUAACCUGGGAACUGCAUUCGAGACUGCAUCGCUAGAGUAUGGGAGAGGGAAGUGGAAUUUCCGGUGUAGCGGUGAAAUGCGUAGAUAUCGGAAGGAACAUCAGUGGCGAAAGCGACUUCCUGGACCAAUACUGACGCUCAUGUGCGAAAGCGUGGGGAGCAAACAGG